rnacentral:rRNA from 1 species
AUUGAACGCUGGCGGCAGGCCUAACACAUGCAAGUCGAGCGGCAGCGGGAAGUAGCUUGCUACUUUGCCGGCGAGCGGCGGACGGGUGAGUAAUGUCUGGGAAACUGCCCGAUGGAGGGGGAUAACUACUGGAAACGGGAGCUAAUACCGCAUAACGUCGCAAGACCAAAGAGGGGGACCUUCGGGCCUCUUGCCAUCGGAUGUUCCCAAAUGGGAUUAGCUAGUAAGUGGGGUAACGGCUCACCUAGGCGACGAUCCCUAGCUGGUCUGAGAGGAUGACCAGCCACACUGGAACUGAGACACGGUCCAGACUCCUACGGGAGGCAGCAGUGGGGAAUAUUGCACAAUGGGCGCAAGCCUGAUGCAGCCAUGCCGCGUGUAUGAAGAAGGCCUUCGGGUUGUAAAGUACUUUCAGCGGGGAGGAAGGUGUUGAGGUUAAUAACCUCAGCAAUUGACGUUACCCGCAGAAGAAGCACCGGCUAACUCCGUGCCAGCCGCCGCAGUAA